GUACGUAGGGGGCAAGCGUUGUCCGGAUUUAUUGGGCGUAAAGAGCGUGUAGGCGGCUAGGUAGGUCCGUUGUGAAAACUCGAGGCUCAACCUCGAGACGCCGAUGGAAACCAUCUGGCUAGAGUCCGGAAGAGGAGAGUGGAAUUCCUGGUGUAGCGGUGAAAUGCGCAGAUAUCAGGAGGAACACCAAUGGCGAAGGCAGCACUCGUGGUACGUGACUGACGCUGAGACGCGAAAGCGUGGGGAGCAAACAGG
rnacentral:rRNA from 1 species